UUCCGUAUCAACAAAGGCUCUACAAUAAAUUACUGUCCAAAUUCAUUUGCCUGCUUGAAUUUCGUUCUUUUCGGCAAGUAUUAAAGAUUUGUGUAGUUCCAAUCGCCUGUGCCUCGAGCAUAAAAGAGAAUGCUAAAAUCCAGGCUAUUAAUUAUUACAAUAUCAUUUCCUUACAGAGCUUUUUCCACUCGUUUUCCUUCCAAACUAGGAUCCGUGCAACAAGAAAAAAAUCUAAAGGAGAUAGAACCUAGAGAAUAAUAUAACGGCUCAUGUGUUAUCAUAAUUAUUUUUUUUAGCAAAUGAAACCUAAAUGUGUUAUCAUAAUUAUUCUAUUUAUGAAGUGAAAACUUGUGCUCCAGUCUUGUUAUUCGCAAGCUUAUUCUGCAGACGCAGUUCAAGACCAACUAGACAAACAAGUAUUUUUCUUGUCAUAGUCACAUGUCGUGUGCUAAGAACAUUCAUUCUUCAAUUUAGUCUUCAAUUCCGGUUCGAUUCUGGUUUCAUAAUAAUUUGCAUAUCCAGUGUUUACUAGUCUGUAUAAAUGCAAGAGCGCGCGCACGGUUUUUGAUCAUGAAAACGAGGCUUAAUAUGGAAAUGUCCUUUGAAUGGCGGUCAUGUGACCCUCGUUCUGUGAAUUUGUUUACAGCUUUUUUCUCCGGGUUUACGCCUUUUUCGCGUAUUGUCGAACGAAAUUUCUUUACAACUCAAUAGAAAUGUUUACAGUUAACAGAGAGUAGAAAAUGUAAAACCUGACAAGUUGCAGAACCCAUUCAUAUGUAGAACCCACCACCCUUAAGCUGGAUGCAAAAGCUACAUGCUGGAUGGAGGGGGUACAGCUGUCCUACACAAGGCCAUUUGGGAUGGACCUGACUGAUAGACAGAUUGAGCUAUUGAUUGAUUGAUUGAUCCUAUGAUUGACUAACCGAUUGAUUGAUCGAUUGUAACCCAUGCACUGAUUGAUGCAAAUCAUUAGGAUAGUAUAGGAUCCAGUAUCAAAGUAUUAUCACAACAAAGGUUCGAUCUAAACAGAAUAUCUAUUUGUAUGUUACAACAUUAAGUAAAUUAUCAUAUAUAUUGUACGACAACACAUAUAAGACAUUGUAUUUUUGGAUAUUAUUUCAUUGUUUUGAAUCUCAUUUUUUAUUCUUUGGAAUCUUAUUUCUAAUAUCAAGUAGCGACCAUCUUUCAAAUACAAAGAUAUCAAAUUGUUUAAUAUAUUUGCAAAUACAAAAUCAUUAAAUUAUAUAGAGAGAUA